rnacentral:rRNA from 1 species
GUCCACGCCCUAAACGAUGGAUACUAGAUGUAAGAGGUAUCAACCCCUCUUGUGUCGCAGCUAACGCAUUAAGUAUCCCGCCUGGGGAGUACGGCCGCAAGGUUGAAACUCAAAUGAAUUGACGGGGACCCCGCACAAGCGGUGGAGCAUGUGGAUUAAUUCGAUACUAACCGAAGAACCUUACCCAGGUUUGACAUCGAUGGCAAGCCCAUGAAAGUGGGCCCUCCCCACAAGGGGACCUGAAGACACUUGUUGCAUGGCUGUCGU